CCAGAGGCCCAAGCAGUGGCACCGAGCGAGCGCGAGGACGCAGCAACCGUCUCUGGCCGCUUUCCAGCUAAAAAGUAAAAGCGGGCAGGGGAAGAGAGCGUGCGAGAGAGGCCGGGAACUGGCAGGGGUUUUCAGCGCCGCCGCGCGGGGCCCGGAGGUUGGAGGGGCGGCUGCCGGCUCCAGUUCCGGGGUGGGGCUUUCCUGCAACUGCCGCGCCAACCUCUGAGCCACCUGGCCCGCCGGCCCGCGCCCGACUGUGGAGCCAGAGCCCAAAGACGCUUAAGACCGAGGCACUUUCAAGCUUCCCCCGGAGCUUGCAGGACGGUGGCGAGGCCCGCGCACGGUCUGCGGCGGCGCCCGGCGCGGUGGGACCCCGGGGCCGCCCUUGUCUCCGCCGCGUCUCGUCUCGGAGACCGAAACGCAGCGACCCUUCCUCGUCGGCUGGCCGAUGCCACCCUAGUGCCCCGGAGGCAAGCUGGAUCAAAGGGGAGUCUCCCCGAUAGAACCUGGAACCCAGAAAAACUUAAAAACAGACUGAAUCCCCUCCCCCACUCCCACUGAGAUAGAGCAUAGGCAUGUGACCUAGGCUCUACCAAUCAGAAGCUGCCUGGCAGGACGUGACUCUCCAGCUGCAUAAAGCAAGGUUUGGAGAACUGUAUUUCUGCAGCUGGGAACGGCCAUUGUUGUGACAUGGGAAGAAGUAGUUUCGUCUCCAGAGCAGUUCUAGAACAUACUUCAGUGCAUUUGUCCUAAUGCCUUAGCCUUGUAUCUGGAUCUCUAGCCCCUGUGGUGGAUUGAGGGAGCUACCCUCAUAUCUUUUUAGUGAAUUACUACUUGUUUGCUUAACUCAGCUGGAGAUGUCCUAUACUUCUUGCAUCUAAAGAGCUCAGAAUCAAAUUUGAAACUUGAACAUCUGCUGUGGUAUACCACAAAGGAGUUUAAAAAAAGAAAAAAAGCAUUGCGAAUCUUAGACAUAGAUGAAUGGAAUGAAAAAAUAAAUAGAAUGAAAAUCAAAGAUGGACAGGUUCCCAGCACCAGUGGCAUAGACAACGAAUGGAAUGAUAGUGCUGUAUGCAGGAACUGAAGGAUGGAACUUAUAACAACUGAGAUGGGAGAAUAGAAGUGAGAAGGCUGAGAAGUGACCCCAGAGAAAUGAGAGAAGAUAGAGAAGGCCAAGGACUGAGCCCUGGGCAGGUUGGCAAGAUACAGCUACCAAUGUACAGGCUAUACUGAGAUACAGAAGCCUUUUAGACAACUGUGAGAUGACUUCAGGUUAUGGAAGGCUUCUGACCACUCCACAGACCCUGUUGGGGGAUGACGGUGAGGAGUAAACUGGGAAACUCAGCUGAGUAAAUGACCUUUACAUAAAACUUGCAAGAAAAAAAAAAUUCAUUUUUAACAUUUAA